rnacentral:lncRNA from 1 species
AUGGUGUUUUGUAUGAAGAGUUGUCCUUUACUCACAGGGUGUGUGUGUGUGCAGAGCUGUCCUGUGUGUUACAGGGUGCUUAACAGGAGACUGGAUCUCUGCCUACUAGAUACCAUUAGCACAUUCACCCCAGUGAUAAUUUUUAAAAAUGUUAUGGGAAAUUUCCAGACGUUACAGCCAGAAGGAAUGGCCUACUGUAGAAAACCGUUGAUUAUUGCCUCACACACACAUCACACACACCAUACACACAUACCACACAGAUGCACUCUCACACACCCUACACACCACACACACACACCAUACAUACACAAACCCCCACACAUGCACACGCACGUACCCUAUACACACCACACGUACACACCCCAUACACACAUGCACACUCACACACCGUAUACACACCACCCAGUUCACACCAUACAUUCACAACCCCCCACAUGCACACUCACACACCCUAUGCAUACCACAUGUUCACACCCCAUACACACAUGCACACUCACACACCGUAUACACACCACACACACACCAUACAUACACAACCCCCGACACGUGCACACUCAUGUACCCUAUACACACCACACGUACACACCUCAUACACAGAUGCACACUCACACACCCUAUACACACCACACACACACACACCAUACAUCCACAACCCCCCACACAUGCACACUCACACACCCUAUACACACCACAUGUUCACACUCCAUACACACAUGCACACUCACACACCCUAUACAGACCACACACACACCAUACAUACACAAACCCCCACACAUGCACACUCACGCACCCUAUACACACCACACGUACACACCCCAUACACAGAUGCACACUCACACACCCUAUACAGACCACACACACACACACCAUACCUACACAACCCCCCACACAUGCACACUCACACACCCUAUACACACCACAUGUACACACCCCCUACACACAUGCACACUCACAACCCUAUACACACCACACACACACACACCAUACAUCCACAACCUCCACACAUGCACACUCACACACCCUAUACACACCACAUGUACACACCCCCUACAUACAUGCACACUCACAACCCUAUACAUACCACACACACACCAUACAUCCACAACCUCCACACAUGCACACUCAUGCACCCUAUAUACGCCACACUUACACCCCAUGCACCACACACACACUCACAUGCAGCCUCACAUACACACUCAUACACAAACGCAUCACAUACACACUAAUACCACAGACUCACACCACACACACACAGACGCUCGUACAUGUUUAUGUUGUACACAUUCUCAGACAGGGAUCAGAACUAUCGUUUUGUGGGUGGCUCAUCAUUAA